UCGAGGAUAUUUAGCAAUGGGGGAAACCCUGACUAUGUGACGCCGCGUGAGGGAUGAAGGUCUUCGGAUUGUAAACCUCUUUCGAUGGGGAAGAAAACCUGCUUUAACUGAGCAGACUGACGGUACCCAGAGAAGAAGCCACGGCCAACUCUGUGCCAGCAGCCGCGGUAAUACAGAGGUGGCGAGCGUUACUCGGAUUUAUUGGGUGUAAAGGGCAAGUAGGCGUCCUGCCAAGUUUUGGGUGAAAUCCUUUGGCUUAACCAAAGAACUGCCUGAAAAACUGGCGGGAUUGAGACUGGAAGAGGAGAGUGGAAUUCUCGGUGUAAGAGUGAAAUCUGUAGAUAUCGAGAGGAACACCAGUGGCGAAGGCGGCUCUCUGGUCCGGUUCUGACGCUGAAUU
rnacentral:rRNA from 1 species